GGAUGUUCCUUUGACCAAGACCUAAUGGAUGAUGCUAAGGCUUCCACUACCACCAGGGCAACAUAAACAUUACUGCUGUUCUUAUUACGACAUGAUGGGUGAAAGUUAACAGUUACUCGAAGGACCGUAACACACCAUAACACAUUACACUACAGCUUCCCAAAUCAAAUUGUGUCGGAGAUAUCACCGACCAGGGAAUUACUACACCACGUGAGGCCCCUCAUAAUACCAUCUGUGAGGGAAUUACUACACCACGAGA